UGCCGGGAUUGCAGAUGGAGUCUCGUUCACUCAGUGCUCAAUGGUGCCCAGGCUGGAGUGCAGUGGCAUGAUCUCGGCUCGCUACAACCUCCACCUCCCAGCCGCCUGCCUUGGCCUCCCAAAGUGCUGAGAUUGCAGCCUCUGCCUGGCCGCCAUCCCAUCUAGGAAGUGAGGAGCACCUCUUCCCGGCCGCCAUCCCAUCUAGGAAGUGAGGAGCGUCUCUGCCCAGCCGCCCAUCGUCUGAGAUGUGGGGAGCGCCUCUGCCC
rnacentral:lncRNA from 1 species